UACAGAGGGUGCGAGCGUUGUCCGGAAUCACUGGGCGUAAAGGGCGCGUAGGCGGCCUGGUAAGUAGGGGGUGAAAUCUUGCGGCUCAACUGCAAGGCUGCCUCCUAAACUGUCAGGCUUGAGCACAGUAGAGGCAGGUGGAAUUCCCGGUGUAGCGGUGGAAUGCGUAGAUAUCGGGAGGAACACCGGUGGCGAAGGCGGCCUUCUGGACGGAUACUGACGCUGAGACGCGAAAGCGUGGGGAGCAAACAGG
rnacentral:rRNA from 1 species